rnacentral:lncRNA from 1 species
GGAAACAUGUCACGCUGCAUGCAUAAGCACCUGUGGUAUCCCCUUGUCUAUAAAAGGAGGACCGAUGCCACCGGUCAAAGGGUUCGACUUGGGUCACAUUCCGUUCAAGUAGCCAAGCUCUUAGGGGGACAAGUACCAUAGAUGAGGAAACAGCCAUCGCGCGCCGUCUCUGCCGAGAUCUCCGCGCUCCGUCCAUUCUUAGGUGGUGGUGGGCUUUCCAUCUAUAGAAAAAAAAAGAAGGAAAGGUAGGAAAGUAUCACUAACAUGAUCAAAUGGUCGGGUGUAAGUAGAAUAAAAGGAUAAAGGUAGAAGGGUGGAUAAAAGACAAGAAUUAUAAUUAAAAGUGGAAUUGCAAAGACAAAAUUGGAUGCAUGAUGAUAUGUGCACAACAAGACAACAUGAUUAUAGUGGU